AGCUCAGUCGGUAGAGGUUUGGACUGCUGAUCCAAAGGUUGCGGGUUCAAUUCCAACCA
rnacentral:tRNA from 1 species